rnacentral:rRNA from 1 species
AUUGAACGCUGGCGGCAUGCUUUACACAUGCAAGUCGAACGGCAGCGCGGGCUUCGGCCUGGCGGCGAGUGGCGAACGGGUGAGUAAUGCAUCGGAACGUGCCCAGUCGUGGGGGAUAGCCCGGCGAAAGCCGGAUUAAUACCGCAUACGACCUGAGGGUGAAAGCGGGGGACCGAAAGGCCUCGCGCUAUUGGAGCGGCCGAUGUCGGGUUAGCUAGUUGGUGGGGUAAAGGCUUACCAAGGCGACGAUCCGUAGCUGGUCUGAGAGGACGACCAGCCACACUGGGACUGAGACACGGCCCAGACUCCUACGGGAGGCAGCAGUGGGGAAUUUUGGACAAUGGGGGCAACCCUGAUCCAGCCAUGCCGCGUGCGGGAAGAAGGCCUUCGGGUUGUAAACCGCUUUUGUUCGGGAAGAAAUCCUCUGGGCUAAUACCCCGGGGGGAUGACGGUACCGGAAGAAUAAGCACCGGCUAACUACGUG